CAGAUACAUGGACAGAGCUCGCAAAACAGUUCAACAGUAACCAAGGCGUGACGUCCAGGGACCUCAGAAGUCUCAAGAAGUGUUGGGGAAAUAUGAAGCAGAAGUGGAAGGAGGAACGCGCGGAAGAGAAAAGUUUUCAAAACAGGUGAGCGGACCGCCCCGCCACCGAUGGAUUCCGUGUCGGCACUCGUUGGGGCAGUGGCAUCUCACAGGGCGACCCGCAUUCCGAAUGCCUACGACAGUGAUGGAGCGACGUACCUGGCACCAGUGUCAAGUGAACCCGUUCUCAGCUCCCACGGCCAAUGAUGACAGAAGAUGAUCCACCGCAUGACAUUUAUGAGGAUGACUACCAUCCAGGGAGCCACACCUGUGUGGGAGUUGACAACGACACCAACGCUACAGCACCCCCGACCGAUCUAGAGUCGACCGAAGUAGCUCCGCCAGCAACAGCUGCAAAUGUGAC